rnacentral:tRNA from 1 species
GCCCCGCUAGCUCAGUGGAUAGAGCAUCUGCCUUCUAAGCAGAGGGUCCGGGGUUCGAAUCCCUGGCGGGGCA